UUUUUUUUUUUAUUUUCCUAGGAAAGUAGUGUUUUGUCUUGUAGUCAUGCAAUUAAAUCAAAUGAGUGCUGUGCUUAGCAAGUGGGAUUAAGAUGGAAAUACAGCAUAUAUCCUCAGGAAAUAAAUGCUGGAAUCUGAUCAUAGUUCAUAUUUAGCUAUUAUGCAAGUAUUUCUUAUUGCUUGAAAUUAUUUCCUUAGAAUUUUGUUCAUUGUUUAAAGAUGAUCCCAGCUGCCACUCUGCUUUUGGAAAAGAGAUAUAUAGAAAGUAGUGCAUCAAGCCUGUGCAUGAAUUUAUCACAAUUACAUUUAGUUACUCAAAUUUUGUAAUGAAUAUUGUAGAUUCUGUGAAGAAAUGUACAUAUUGCAGAGAAGGGUCCUAAAGCCCUGUCUGACUCCUGGCAUCAGAGUGUUCCAUCAACUAUAGCUACAGCUACCAUCUCCUACAUGCUUGCAGCCCUGGGCCUUUGGGUGCAGGAAAAAAUAAAAAAAGGGACAGAAAUGUAUUAGCGCCAGGAUUUGGUGAUUAAGUAAACAUUCACACUCUCAGAAUGGAGCCAUUGUUUCCUCUGUGUGCGUUUACCCUGUUUCUUAUUCCCCAUGCACUGUGCCAUGCUCUUCAAACACGUUUAUGCUGUUUAUUUGCCUGUAGCCACCAGAAAUAAUCCUUCCCUUUCUCCGGUUUUACCUUCCCUCUCUCCCUCAGCUGCUUUCUCUUUAUCUUUCUGUCUUCAGCCCUUUCCCCUGUACUCCCUCUCCUAUUUUCUGCCUCCUCUUUUCCAUGCAGCCAGGCUGGCCAACCUUCCAGGUGCAGCUGCAGCCGUGGCAAUGAGUAAACCCGCUGAGUUGUGGGAUUGGCGGAGCUGUAAAAGCUCAGACCAGACUCUUGCCUUUAUCGCGGCAUUUUGUUACUGUCUGACAGCAAUAAAAUACAAGGUCUUUUAUGUGUGUGAAACAAGGAGUGGCAGAACAACUCUCGUGUUGUUUCUUGCUGCGUAGCAACCCAAGCCGCUCUGAAGUUGCCUAUAGGCCUUGCUUUCAGGGCAGUGUGACUUACCUUUCUGAGGAAACUUGCGUAACAGAAAGCAUUUAGGUAGGUACAAGCUAGCUCACGAUCCUCCCAUACAGCUCGGAGAAAUAAUAGCUAAGUUUCACUUGAAUUGUGGAAGUAAUCCCUACCAGUGUUACUGCAAUUUUUUAAGUUCAGUAUCUGCUGCUGUUGUGCAAUACCAUGUAAGAUUUCAGGAACUGUAGAUAUAGGGAUGUGGCAUUCCCUGAUCAAGAAAGAAGAGUAUUAGUCUCUUUUGUUUUCCUCAUGUCACAAUUCAGGUACAUGAGCUAAUACACUUAAAAUUACUGUGUAUGCCAUUACACUAAGUCAACAGGUAAUCUUGGAAGGGGUUGGCUUAGAAAAAAAAAAGUGUCUCAGUUUUAAAAGAGAACAACACAGGCACAAAAACAGACAUCAACUUAUCUGAAGGUUAUUCUGGAAAUCAGAAGAAAAGCAAACCCUCAGAUCGGCAGGGUGACUUUCAUUUGGAAGCGUAAGGACAAGAACUCAACUGCUUUUUUUUUUUUUUGUGCAGAUUGUGGUCAUGUAACAAAACAGAUUCUGUAACAUGGGUGCUGAUUGUCAAUGGACUGGGUGUGAUACUGGAGAAGGUUCCUUCAUAUCUUAUUUCUUAAAGACUAUUUGAAAGUGAGGUUGGUGUUCAAUGGAUCUGUCUAAAUGCUAACUAGAACUUCACCCUCGGUUGUUUCCCCAGAGUACCUUGUUGGAAAUUACACUCUUCGCAAGCACUGUCUAGCUUGUUGGAGAGUGCAAGUCUGUCAAAUCAAUAAGCAUAGGAGUUGACUAUGUGUUAGGAUAUGUUUUCACUACAUUUAACAGUUUCUGAGUUUAGAGUCACUACAGCAUCCAUCCAUGUGUGAAAAUCUCUCAUUAAGUUAUGGUAGUGAUGCUGUAGCAGAGAGGAUAGCUCUGACCUCUGGCUCAACUUUUAUUUGUGCUGGUAAUUUUUCUGCACUGCAGACUGACCUGUUCAGAUGCUUUUCCAGUGCUUGCCCUGAAUUAGUGACCUGAGUCCACAAGUCACCUCACAGCUCUACAGGAAAAAAAAAAAAUAAAAUCCUACAGUAACUCAGCUCAUGCCAGAGCCUAUGCAUGUGUACUGUCUGUACUUCAUGAUGAAACAGAACUGGCCUUUCAUUUUUAUGUUCCUAUUUUAAGACAUUCCUUAAACAACACAAUCCUCUACAGUUUGGAUAAAUAUUAUUCUGAGAUGGAAGGAGAAUGGGUUUGGUCUUUAUAUUUCUUUUUGUUCCCUUGGCAGUACAGAAAUAGCUGAUAAUUCUUUGGUGAGAAAUAAAUUGCAAAACUGGUUGAUGCCAAUAUGCUGGCAUAGGUAUUUACAUUUAAGACCUAAAAUCUGCCUGAGUAUUUCCUAGUAUUUCUACAUCAGGAGAAAAACAAGAAAGUGAGGAUAACAUUACUUAAGUUCAUUUGAACAUGAGGAAAAGAGUAAUAAUGUUCAGUGUUGUGCACUAAAUUAAAAAACUCUUCCUUUCUCCUCUUUGUAUGUUCCUUUGGAUGGUCAGAAAGUUCAGAUAGGCAAAAGAGUCAUUAGGCAGGAGAAAUUCAGCCAGGGAAAAUGUACCCAUAAUUAGAAUUUUGCCACAGAAAACUAUGAUUUAAGAAAUCACCCCAAAUAAUUCCUUUCCAUAUUCUGUAGUGCAGGUUGUGUCUGGUCACCAUCUGGGACUCACAGAUAGAAUAGAUAAACUCUUCAAUAGUCUCCACUUGCUUUUUCAUCUGGGCUAAUGUCCACAUUGGCCUGAAAUAAAUCUCUUCCCAGCCGGAGCAUAUUAAUUUGGCUUCAGGGCAUUUAUUUAAUCCAUCUUCUGAAUUAACUGGAAAACUACAUAUUUUCUGAUGGAGAAUGUGUAGGCCAGAGGAGCACACACAUCUCUCCUUCAGCCAUAUGUACAUUUCCUGAGAAAGCCCAUCUUCCAUUUAUUUAUUUAUUUAUUUAUUUAUUUAUUUUCAGUUGAUGGGCCUUGGGGAAUGAUCUUUGGUUUCAUGGAGUGAGUGUUUUCUGAAAAAUUCUGGUGGUGUUAUGUGGCAUCACUGGGAGCCACAGAGACAGCACAGAGGAAUGAGGUCUGGUUGGUUGUGUUUAGUCCUCCCUAGUCUCCUCUAGUCCUCCAGGGUGCUUGCAGCUCCUUGGAAACAACUUUCUCAGGAAAGGAGGAGGAACACCCCACCCUGCCAGGAAGGUGUGGUAUCUCUGUAGUUUCUUUUAGGAAGGGGAGAAUGAGAGGAUUCAGCCCUUCACCGAAUAACUAAGGUAAGACAACUAAAUUACAUUGAAACAUGGAUAACAAAAACAGCUUGACCAGUAAUUUUGCCUACUGUCCUACUAAAAGCUAGGUGCAACAAAUUGCUUAUCUAUCUAAUGGCAUGGACACAGUUUUAGCUUUAUUUAUUUAUUUAUUUAUUUAGUGUCUCUUAGAGAAUGAAGAUAAUAAUGUCAUGAUCUUGAGUGGACAUAGAGUAUGUUAAAUGUCCUUUAUCUCUGUACAAAUGAUUUUCUAUCACACAGACUUAACUUAAGGGAGAAUUUAAGUAUUGUCUGACCUUAACUAGCUGUUAGCUUUCAUCAUUGUUUUCACAUUUUAUAUUGGUACAGAUUUUGAAAAAAUUAACUUACGUUGUUUUUCACCUCUGUGCAUAGUCAUGAAGUCCACAUCACUCUUUGCAACACUGCCCUUUCAAAGUCAUCUGCCCAACUUGUUUUUUCCUCUGUCAUCAUAGCUCUGUUAGAAUAUUUGGACAAAGAGUAUAACCACUCUAGAAAGAUAUAGUACAUAAAAAAGUAAAAUGUUUAUGAGAGAGAAAUCUAUUAAAUUAAUAUAAAUUUAAGCCUGAAAACGUAUGUAUGGGAUAGAAAUUAAUUCUAUCAUUACUUGUAAGAUUUUAUGAAGGAUUGUUGUUGUAGAGCUUUAUGCUUUGGGUUUUAUAUUAAUCACUAUUAUGGAGUUAGCUGUGUGGUUCUUUUCACUGAGGCACUUUGCAUAACUAAAUAUUCAAAAGAAAUGCUUUGGAAUACAAUGUCUGUAGUGGUGUUUACACUAAAAAAUAAUAUUGUUUCCUAAAAAAAUAAUGCAGCUUAAAUGAGAAUGUGUAUAGGUCUAGCAAAUUUUAUAAGCAGUUCAUAUUAAUAGUGAUAACAUAAUAACAUACUAAUAAAAACAGUUCGAAGUUAGCUGGAAAAACAAAAUACCUCAGAACACAGUCUAUGUGAAUUCUUAAAUUUUCUAAAUCCUAGAUUUAAAAAAUGAGAAGCGCAGUCAGAGGAAGUCACAUGAUCCAACCUAAUAAAGAUAAACCUGUCAAUCUGAAGAUAAAGGCAAACUUGGUUUCUGUAUCCUCACAGAGUUGGUAAUUGUUUCAGAUUUUUUAAAGGUACAUUAAGAGAUAGGAAGACAAUGAUAAAUUUAAAUUGCAAAAAGGAAAAUUAAAGUAAGCUAUCAGAUAAACUUUCCAGUAGUGAUUAAAGGAGUUGUAUCAGCCAGAAGGCUGAUGAAUCUCAUCAGUGAAAGAUCUUUAUAUCAGGAUUGCCAUCCAUUGGGAAAGAUAGCAGUAGAGCUGAUCCUUUGUUGAGUCCCUUCCAUUCAUAUUUUCAUUAGCAUCAAUUGGAUUCUGAGCCCUUGACACCUCCAGGCCUUCCUAUUCAGCAUCUCCUGGUGAUCUGAUGCAGUCAGGUGCUGUCCAUUCAUGAUACAGAGACUGAUCCUGUAACUUUGUGUGCACUCAGUAUUCCGUUUGCAAUGACUCGAAUGUAUCAUGCUGAUAGCUAAAAUAUUUCCCCGAAGUAGUUUUUUUUUAAUUUCUCUCCCUGCCCAAACACCACUAAUAAAAAGGUCCAAAUACUCUUUCACCCUCUUUUAUUAUCUUUUCUCCAACAAAUCUGAGUAAGAAUAUAUGUUGCCAUGAAUUUCCCAUAUUGCCUAGUGUUAUAUGAACGUUGCACCUCAGCCCCUGUUCUCUUAAACAUUGCAUGUGCGUUUGACUGUGAACCUAGAUUCACUCUUCACUUUAUUAUGUUCAUACCGGAAUGAUUUCAAAUGGCUGGCCUUCUUUAAAAGUACUUACUGAUGACAAAAGAGUAAAGUAAUACCAUGAAGAAGUCUCUGGCCUGUCAUUAAAUAGCAGUGCCAAACACGUGCCAUAGUUGAUAGUGGCUGUGUCAAAAGGUUUUCCUGUUUUGCAUAUUUUAAUAUUAGCUAAAUUUAAUCAAGGAAAUUAUUUUAAGGGUAAAUGAGAAAUAAACCUAAUCCAUAGUUUGAGGAGCUUGAUAUCCUUAUGAGGAUAUUAAUGAGUCAUUCUAAAGUUAAAGUUAAACAUUCAGCCACAGUUCACUUCUGGGGAAGAAAGAUAUGUUCUCUACAUAGUUAAAAAUUUUUGUUACCUCAGUAUGAGGGAAAUCAGGAUAUAUUGUACUCAGAUAUUCACUAUAUGCUAAGUUUGUCCUGCAAGCUCUUCAUUCAUGGUGUAUAUAAGGAAGGUAGUUUUGAUAUUAAGUUGAUAUUAAACUUUUGCUGUUGAUUUUGUCUGACAUUUAUGCUGUGUGAUAUGGCACAGCUGGUGAUAAUGUUAAACUGAAAAGCACACACAUGAAGUACUGCAAGUCUGUCACACAUUGGACCUAUCAUUUUCAUUCCUCAGUGGGCUCAUAAAACUAUUAAAUUCCAGCCACACAUAGAGCCAUUCAUUUUCCUAGAGAAACAAAAUGUUAAGGAUUUUGUUUCCAAAGUAGUUAUCAUAUACUUACCUUAUUAAUAAAUUCAUUUUUAAGUGUAACAUUAUGUUGUUAAAAGUGAUUACAUAAUUACUCUGUGAAUCACAAAUGGAGAUAGAACAAAAUAAGAGCUGUCUCCAGUGAUUUUUCUGUCUGUUGGGAAAACGGUUAUUUUUGCAUGGGAUGGUUAUUGUAAAUUCAUCUCACCACCUUGGGACCUCUGUUGAAUGCAAAUACAUGCUGAUUUUGCUGCCAAAAUGCAAAGGACAAAACAAAAAAAAAAACCAAAAAACAUCACCAAACUACAACCACAGACAUACCAAAAAGAAAAAAAAAAAUAAAAAAAGCUUAAGGGCUGAAGGGCUGUAUUCAUUUCUUUUUUUUUUUUUUUUUCUUAAUGGUUACACAGCUAUGAAUGUGAGAAAGUGCAAAGCUUGUUGGUUAACAUCAGUGCUAAGACUGACAGCUUUCCAUUAAUACUUGCCUAUUUCAGAUUCUUUGAUUCCUCUAUAAAAAAGUGCAAAUCUCAGACAAUCUCCUAGCACAAAGACUAGCCAGAAUUUCAAAAGUUAAAAAAAAAAAAAAAAAAAAAAAAAGAAAAAAGUAAAAGCUUCUGUGGAAUGCUUGUGUUAGACACUGAAGUUGAGCUUAACAAAAUUGAAGACAUCCCCUCCGUUACUUCGAAGCAUGACUGAUAAAACUUACAAGCAAAAUGGUUAUAUUUCUUUGCACUCUGUCUCUGGAAAUGGUAAUGGGAGAUACCAUCUAGAAAGCACACGUGAGCCUAGCCCCUCCUGGCACUCCAUUCCCAGGUACUCACACAGACAAGGCUAUUUAGCUUACAAAAAAUAAAAGGCCCAAGCAGUUAGCAAACUAAAUUUGCAGGUCGGCCUGAUGUGCAAUGAAUAUCAGAUGUCAGUGUAUAAAAUGGAUGUCUGUUAAGCAAUUUUUGUUUAUUUUCCUAAAUUGGCUUUUCAUGACUGUUCUAUUUCAUAUCUUAUUAUGCUGUAUCUUGAAUUCCAAGAUGCUGUUUAGCUACCAGAGACAACAAGAAUUUGCAUUAUACAAAAGUGCAUUCAAAACUAUCACCAACUGUAAUUUUGUUUUUGUUCUCCUUUUUGUUAAUUUUUGAUGUGCUUGGAAUAUGAAGGAACUUUAUAUCUGAUGACCCAUUUUUGACUUGUACAUGCACUCACAUAGAUUUCAGUAAAAGUUGCUUGUGAAUAACAAAUGGUUUUCUUUAACAAAUUUUGCUUUUUUCCACUAAAGCAGUUCUAAAUACAUGAAGAUAAGUGAUAAUUUAUCUCUAUUGGAAUUAGUAGUGCCAUUUGUUUCAGUUGAUUGAUUCAAGUUCAUUUUUGUAUGUUUGAAGAUGGACAAUGUUUUUAAACUGAGUUAACUUACUGGAAAAAUAUUUAAAUCAGUACCUGAGGUAUGUGAGUACCAAAAGGCAUGCUGUUUGAAAGAUUGACAAAAAGUAUGUUAAAAUGUUAACACAAUAUAAAAUGAUAAAUUACACUUAAUGGUAAAUAUAUUAUUCUUUUUUUAAAAGCAAUAUUUUACCAUCUUCAAAUAAAUCGUUUUUUUUUUUAAAGUCUCUGUAUAAAAUUAGUUGUUAUCAUGAAUACUUGCCUGGGAUCUUAGAAAUUUGAUUCAGAAAUGUCAAAAUGUACUGGUUUUACUUUUAGAAUCAAAUUCUUGUUGCUUGGAGAGGCUCAGCUUGAGCUGUAUGCAGUGAGUAUACCUGAGAUGCCUGUGCUGCCCAAAUAUUGUAAUUCAAGUGUCUUUUGUUGUUUUUCUUCUCUGAGGCUUGUACUCCAGCGUUAAUCUACAGAUCCUCUGAAGCACUGAUUCAGAGCUGGACAGAAGGGUAUCACAGAAAAGGGCAUCUAAUGGGAGAGAACAAUGCAGAGAGUGAUGACUUGAGGAAAUUGUACUGUAAUUCCCAUGGACCUGAUGCGAAGUUCUGUUGUGCCAACCUAAAACAAAGUAUCUUAGUCAUUUUGAUACAUGAAAUAAUUUCGCACUGGGAUGCAAUGACUUAAGUCAACAAUUUUCUUUUUCUUUUCAGUGAAAGAAAACAAAAACUGGAUUUUUCCACUACAAACCUUCAGUUUUAAAGAAAAUCACAUUUUCCACUGCUAGAUUAAAAAAAAAAAAAAAAGUCCUGAGUCAGUCUACUUAAACAUGAUGUUCCAAAUGAUCAUUUAUUGUAUUUUAUUUCGGAGCCAUUCAGAAAUUAUUACAAACAAAACUCUUAGAUUUUUAUUUAUGAAAACACGAUAACACUGUACUAUUACUUGUAUUUUAAAUAGAAUGAAAAUGAUGCAUUUGGUUACUUGGUAGGGAGGAACAUUUGAAUUAUACUGUUAUCUUAAUUCAAGCAAAAUGCUAGGCUCUUUUGGAUUUUUGCUUAAAUUUAGUGCUAUUUUCUUAUUGCAAGUAGUACAAUAUGCUACUCACAGCAGUUUAAAUUUGUAAUUUAUUACCACAGAAUCAGGACUGAGCAAAAAUAAUUGAAACCUGCAGUACAAAUUCAGACAGUGUUCCCAAGACAGUAAUCUAACAAGAUCCCCUGCUAGUGCUCUAUUCACUUCCAUAUGACAGCUUGAUUUUCAUGCUGCCAAGACCUCAAUGAGCCGAUGGAAGACUAGGAUCCUGCUCUCCAAAAUCCAAAUUCAUUUCUGCUAGAACUGGUAUCUUCAAAAAGGCCUCCAUACACUAGCUGGAAUGAUCAAGAAAAAAUGCCUGAGAUUUGAAAGCCUCAGCAAAUAUUUCAAAAGAAAUGUAUCUGCCCAUUUUCAAGGCUCAAGUCUCAGACCCUUCACUCAUGCUGGAAGUUCUACUGGCAUCAGUUUGACUAUCUGCAGAGAGUUGCACAUGGGAGUCCAUGAGUUAACAAAUGACCAAAAAGUCACCUUACUUUAGAAGAAUAAAAAAUACACUUUGUAAAGGUUAAAAAAAAAAAAAUUAUAAAUUUAAUACUUACGAACAAAUAUUAAGCCACCAAGAAACAUCAGGCCAAUGGCAGCACCGCUAAGUGUAGUAGAAGAUGGGCCAUAUGUGAGAGGAUAACCAUUUCCAUCCUCAGCAGUAUAUGACUCAUAUAUUUCAGUGUUAGUAUUCCAGUAUGUCACGUCUGUGUAGUCUUCAGUAACAGGCCUACCAGUCCAACCAAUUCUGUCAUCAUCAGGACCACCACCACCGUCACCACCACCGAUGAUAAUUAUUUUUGUGGCCCCACUGCUGCAAUAAUUGCGACUGUCACAGCGACAAGCUUGUAGAGGAAUUAUGUAUGGUUGUAAGCAGCUUCGGCCUUGGCUAUCUCUUACUCUAAUAUAGAUCUUAUAAAGGUAGAAGUCCAUGUUCUGGCUCACUAAUUCUGCAGAGGUAGCUUUAGGGGGAAAAAAAUAAAAUAAAAUAUAUAUAUUUAGAUUAAGAUGUUGACUUUAAAAACUGCUCAAAUCUAUAAUUUUGGUGAAUUAUGUUAAUAGUACAGACUAAGUGUUUACAUUAGAUCUUCUUAUGUAUCUACAGUACUUAUUCAAAGCUGAAACAUGAUCUAUUCUGGUAGUUUUUAUUUGUUUGUUUGGUUAUUAUUUUUAUUAAUUUAUUUAUUUCUUAUUUAUUUAUUUAUUUAUUUAUUUAUUUCAUUUGGAGAACCUGAGCAAGAUCAAUCUAGUCAUCACUUUUUAACUUGAAAAAUAUAAAAGGGACAAAUGCACUUUUUUUAGUAUCUACUGCUGAUUUUCCUCAUUUUUAUUUCAAAAAUUGUUAACAUAUAAUUUGCAAGAUUUACACAUUUUCUUUUCUCUCACUAGGAAUUUACAUGCUAGUUAUGCUUUCUAUUUUUUUUUUUUUUUCAAAUGGUAUUUCAGUUAUUUUAAAAUAUUUAAAGUUAUGAAUUUGCAUCUGUUUAGGACAAAUAGGAGUUACAAGGAUAGUUGCAAAUCUGAUAUUUACCGUUUAAUAAGGCUUUCUAUACAUACAGUAAAUUAUGCAAAUUCUGUCAUUUAGAAAUGUAUGAGAUAUGAUUAAUCAAAAAGCAAGCAGAAUUUGUACCAUACAUUGCAAAAGCUGUAAUCUUUAUUUACCAUUUUCAUGAGACUCUCAUAAAAAUAAAAAUUACAAAGAACUUUUGCUCUCAUAUAAAUAAAAAAGCUUUGUCAUAUGCUUAGAAUAAAAAUAAUUAAUAUAAUUAAAUAAUAUAGAAAUAAAAAAUAUCAGCCUGUCUUUUGAAUUACCUCAUUAGGUUUAGACCAAUAAAGCUGCUUAUUGUAGUUAUCACACAUACCAUUUUCCUGCUCUAUUUUUAUCAAUAUAUUUUUAGUUUCAUUUAAAAGAUAACUAGAUAAAAUGCAUGUAAUAUUUUUCAUUCAGUACUAACAUAUAUAUAGAGCAACUCUGGAUUCAAAUGAAUAUAAAAUCAUAUUUAAGUGAGAAGAACGGAUUUUAAUGACUGUUUUGUAUUGUUUCUUAUGAAAACGUAUCCUACUCUGUAAUCUUAGAUAGGAGGUAAUUACUAUGAUUUAUUCUGUUAUAAAAUGUAAUUUAACUUACCAUUUAUUGAUCUGAUAAUCCACGUAGUUUGAGGUUCACCAUGUAUGCUGAACGUAAAGGGGAGCCCGUAUAGAUCACCAUUUACGCUCUUUGCUGUGAUGACCACUGACGGGGAAUGCAUACAUACUUUCCUUAAUGCUGUAUUAAUAGUUGGACAAUUGUCAUUAACGCCUUGCAUUGUAAGCACAAUGGUGCCAGUGGCAGUAUAUUGAGGAACCCCUGUAAAAAGAAGAUAUUUGUAAUCAGGAGGCAAUGUUGAUACUAUAAAUAAUGCAGUUCAGGUGGGAAAAGAUGGAACGGAAAAAAAAGUUGUACAAAGAGUAUUUUAUUUCAGAAAACUGAAUCUGUUUUCUUACCUCUAGUAAUAGCCAGAACCUCUGCUCUGUACUGCCCAUGGGAUACAUAGGAGGAUUCCCAGUCAAUAACUUUGUUCAGUGUGAUUUCACCAGUGUUUUGAUUGAUUCUGAACCAGGCACCUGGAUCACGUCCUAUACUAUAUCUGUAUUUGUUCAAAUAAAAAUAUUCAGAAUUACGUUUAAUAUGAAACAGUAUAAAUGCAGACCUAGUUAUGUGGGUGGAAUAAAUUAUUCCAAUUAA